UACACUCCUGCGGGAGGCAGCAGUGGGGAAUAUUGGACAAUGGGCGCAAGCCUGAUCCAGCCAUGCCGCGUGAGUGAUGAAGGCCCUAGGGUUGUAAAGCUCUUUCACCGGUGAAGAUAAUGACGGUAACCGGAGAAGAAGCCCCGGCUAACUUCGUGCCAGCAGCCGCGGUAAUACGAAGGGGGCUAGCGUUGUUCGGAUUUACUGGGCGUAAAGCGCACGUAGGCGGACUAUUAAGUCAGGGGUGAAAUCCCGGGGCUCAACCCCGGAACUGCCUUUGAUACUGGUAGUCUUGAGUUCGAGAGAGGUGAGUGGAAUUCCGAGUGUGGAGGUGAAAUUCGUAGAUAUUCGGAGGAACACCAGUGGCGAAGGCGGCUCACUGGCUCGAUACUGACGCUGAGGUGCGAAAGCGUGGGGAGCAAACAGGAUUAGAUACCCGUGUAGUCCCAUGA
rnacentral:rRNA from 1 species